rnacentral:rRNA from 1 species
CGGCCCGGUAAGUCCCCGCUGAAAUCCUCGGGCUCAACCCGAGGGCGGGCGGGGAUACUGCCGGGCUAGAGGGCGGGAGAGGCCGGGGGUAGUCCCGGGGUAGGGGCGAAAUCCGAUAAUCCCGGGAGGACCACCAGUGGCGAAGGCGCCCGGCUGGAACGCGCCUGACGGUGAGGGCCGAAAGCCGGGGGAGCGAACCGGAUUAGAUACCCGGGUAGUCCCGGCUGUAAACGAUGCGGGCUAGGUGUUGGGCGGACUUAGAGUCCGCCCAGUGCCGCAGGGAAGCCGUUAAGCCCGCCGCCUGGGGA